UGAGCUCACUCGCCACAGGACUGCACACAACUUAGGAAAGCACAUGGAAAAUAUAUAUCAAGAUGUACUUUUUUAAGAUCUGAUUGGAAUAAGACUCUUGGCUUGUUGCAACAUUUCAAACUCUGUAUAUCAAGUUCCAUUCUUCGAGCUCUAAGCACAUUUGCCCAAAAUGGAAAAGUGUUUUUCCAAACUGUUGUAAAUAAAGAGAAUCAUUUUACGAUAUUCAUCCUACUGUUAAUCCAUCCACCUUCUAGCUGUUUGCUCAUUUCCUGCAGUGCCAGCCAGGAAAGCAGAACAGCCCAGAUGGGCUUUUCUCUGCAAAUUCCUCCAGUCUUUCCCAAAGUAACUUGUGGUGACCAGAAUAUGCUUGCAUGCAGCUGUCCGGGGGGUCUUUACCAGAUCCAAGAUGGCUGCCGUACCACGGUGCAGCAGAGAGGCCAGAACCACCAGAGCAGGAGGACGAUGAGCAGGAGCAGCAGGAUGAGCAACGCUAUGGCAACAAAGGUCCCAUCAGACUAUAGAGCAGGAAAAAGAGACAGGACAUCACCAGGGUUGCACUGUGAGCCAUAAAGCCGAAACAAAGAGCUGAAGGCUAAAAGAAAAAGACGCUAAAAUGCUCUCUGAGGGGAGUGCAGCAGACUAAUGGGAAGAUUGGAUAUGCUGGACGGCUCUACAGCCAAGAUCUCGAUGCAUGACCUCUUCAGGAUCUGAAAGGGGACGUUUUUGUACAAUAAGAGGAACUCAAGUGCAGAUGUGCCGCCAACAACUUGGGAUCUCUGGAACAUCUGGCUCUAAUGGAGAAAGGGUUCUGCAGACUGAAGCAGAGCUGGACUCAAUGUGGAAUCCUGUCGGUGAAACGUGGCCGAGCUUCAGAAAGUACCAAUGGAAAAAGUUAUUUCUGAUUUAUAGUGUUAUCUCCUGCAUUUAUUUCAUUGGGUAUUUAUUUGCCACAGGGUCUGAUUUGUUAUAUAUAUAUUGUUUUUGAUAUUUCUAAUGAAUCAGGAUUCCCUGCAGGGCACUUUAUCAUUGAAGUGAAAGCAUCAGCACUUUGUAAAGUCUUCAUCACUGUGUAAAGUUUGUAUUUUCCAUCCAGGACGACAUUACUAUGACCUGGCAACUAAACAUCAACACACUGACACAUGACUGGAAAUGACCUGUUGAGGAGCGGAGUUUCACACUGGCUUCAGUUUCAUGGAAAGGGUUACCUAGCCCUCGUGUCAGCACUCACAGGGUUCUAGAGAUCUGUUCCUUUGUUAUGAGAUAUAUACAGAGUGUUAGGCCAAAUGUGCCUACCGUUUUCUGAUUGUACGUGAGGAUGUGUUGCUUUUCUUUGUUUUUUAUGGUUUUAAACUGAUUAUCUUUAAGUUUUUAACUGUUGGAAGAACAAUGGAAGACAUUUUCAUGGAGCCACCUGAGACUCUGGGAGGAUGAGACGCAUUUUUUAUUAUUUCUCUGACAUUUUAUAAACCGAAUUACUAAUCGAUUGAUCCAGAAGCCAUUUACACGAUGAUACUUGCAUCUGGUGGUUAUCAGUUAGUCUAUAUAUUUUGAGAAUGUCCCUAUCAAAUUAGCCAUAUAUAAAUAAAGCAAUCUGCAGAUCAACAAUGAGAAUAUUUGUUGCAAAUUGGAGCUGCUGGAGGUUAUGGUUGAUGCCCUAAACAUCCUUUACCACAAGAAAUCCUCAGAUCUGGAGUGUUUCACUCUUCUGCCUUUUUAUUUAACCUUUAGUAAACUUGUUAUCCGAAAGUGGACAUUUCACAAUAAACAUCCACAUGUGCCAGCUGUGUUGACAGAACUGAGCUUUGUUUUGGCACUCCAAGUCACACACAUUAUUCUUUAUGUCUGUCCCCAGCACAAAACCAGUCGUAUUUUCACUUGACUUAAAGCUGCUUGUCAUUUCAAAUCUUCUUACUAUACUACAGUAGCUCCUAUUUGUCAUGCAGGUAGCCCAUUAAUGCCUCGUGUUUGCACCUGUGUCUUCAGAACAAUCUCAGAUGAGUCAUGCACUGAUCAUUCAAAGUUUAAUAAAGUAGCACUCACUUGUCCAAAACAAAGUAGAGGUCAAACCCUCCGUAGCAGGACGAGCCGGCCUCCCUCCUGCCUUGGCUCUGCCCUGUGCUGCUGACCAC